GAUGAACGCUGGCGGCGUGCCUAAUACAUGCAAGUCGAGCGAACGGACGAGAAGCUUGCUUCUCUGAUGUUAGCGGCGGACGGGUGAGUAACACGUGGAUAACCUACCUAUAAGACUGGGAUAACUUCGGGAAACCGGAGCUAAUACCGGAUAAUAUUUUGAACCGCAUGGUUCAAAAGUGAAAGACGGUCUUGCUGUCACUUAUAGAUGGAUCCGCGCUGCAUUAGCUAGUUGGUAAGGUAACGGCUUACCAAGGCAACGAUGCAUAGCCGACCUGAGAGGGUGAUCAGCCACACUGGAACUGAGACACGGUCCAGACUCCUACGGGAGGCAGCAGUAGGGAAUCUUCCGCAAUGGGCGAAAGCCUGACGGAGCAACGCCGCAUGAGUGAUGAAGGUCUUCGGAUCGUAAAACUCUGUUAUUAGGGAAGAACAUAUGUGUAAGUAACUGUGCACAUCUUGACGGUACCUAAUCAGAAAGCCACGGCUAACUACGUG
rnacentral:rRNA from 1 species